rnacentral:rRNA from 1 species
CGAGGGGAGUGAAAAAGAACCUGAAACCGUGUACGUACAAGCAGUGGGAGCACAGGUUUACCUGUGUGACUGCGUACCUUUUGUAUAAUGGGUCAGCGACUUAUAUUCUGUAGCAAGGUUAACCGUAUAGGGGAGCCGAAGGGAAACCGAGUCUUAACCGGGCGUUAAGUUGCAGGGUAUAGACCCGAAACCCGGUGAUCUAGCCAUGGGCAGGUUGAAGGUUGGGUAACACUAACUGGAGGACCGAACCGACUAAUGUUGAAAAAUUAGCGGAUGACCUGUGGCUGGGGGUGAAAGGCCAAUCAAACCGGGAGAUAGCUGGUUCUCCCCGAAAGCUAUUUAGGUAGCGCCUCGUGAAUUCAUCUCCGGGGGUAGAGCACUGUUUCGGCUAGGGGGCCAUCCCGGCUUACCAACCCGAUGCAAACUGCGAAUACCGGAGAAUGUUAUCACGGGAGACACACGGCGGGUGCUAACGUCCGUCGUGAAGAGGGAAACAACCCAGACCGCCAGCUAAGGUCCCAAAGUCAUGGUUAAGUGGGAAACGAUGUGGGAAGGCCCAGACAGCCAGGAUGUUGGCUUAGAAGCAGCCAUCAUUUAAAGAAAGCGUAAUAGCUCACUGGUCGAGUCGGCCUGCGCGGAAGAUGUAACGGGGCUAAACUAUGCACCGAAGCUGCGGCAGCGACACUAUGUGUUGUUGGGUAGGGGAGCGUUCUGUAAGCCUGUGAAGGUGUGUCGUGAGGCAUGCUGGAGGUAUCAGAAGUGCGAAUGCUGACAUAAGUAACGAUAAAGCGGGUGAAAAGCCCGCUCGCCGGAAGACCAAGGGUUCCUGUCCAACGUUAAUCGGGGCAGGGUGAGUCGACCCCUAAGGCGAGGCCGAAAGGCGUAGUCGAUGGGAAACGGGUUAAUAUUCCCGUACUUGGUGUUACUGCGAAGGGGGGACGGAGAAGGCUAUGUUGGCCGGGCGACGGUUGUCCCGGUUUAAGCGUGUAGGUGUGUGUUCCAGGUAAAUCCGGUUCACUUUAACACUGAGGCGUGACGACGAGGCACUACGGUGCUGAAGCAACAAAUGCCCUGCUUCCAGGAAAAGCCUCUAAGCAUCAGGUAACAUCAAAUCGUACCCCAAACCGACACAGGUGGUCAGGUAGAGAAUACCAAGGCGCUUGAGAGAACUCGGGUGAAGGAACUAGGCAAAAUGGUGCCGUAACUUCGGGAGAAGGCACGCUGACACGUAGGUGAAGUGAUUUACUCAUGGAGCUGAAGUCAGUCGAAGAUACCAGCUGGCUGCAACUGUUUAUUAAAAACACAGCACUGUGCAAACACGAAAGUGGACGUAUACGGUGUGACGCCUGCCCGGUGCCGGAAGGUUAAUUGAUGGGGUCAGCGCAAGCGAAGCUCCUGAUCGAAGCCCCGGUAAACGGCGGCCGUAACUAUAACGGUCCUAAGGUAGCGAAAUUCCUUGUCGGGUAAGUUCCGACCUGCACGAAUGGCGUAAUGAUGGCCAGGCUGUCUCCACCCGAGACUCAGUGAAAUUGAACUCGCUGUGAAGAUGCAGUGUACCCGCGGCAAGACGGAAAGACCCCGUGAACCUUUACUAUAGCUUGACACUGAACAUUGAGCCUUGAUGUGUAG